rnacentral:tRNA from 1 species
AGGAAAUUAGCUCAAUUGGAUAGAGUCUCAGACUCCAAAUCUGAAUGAUAUAGGUUCAACUCCUACGUUUCCUG